UCGGAUGUGAAAUCCCUGAGCUUAACUUAGGAAUUGCAUUCGAUACUGGUCAGCUAGAGUAUGGGAGAGGAUGGUAGAAUUCCAGGUGUAGCGGUGAAAUGCGUAGAGAUCUGGAGGAAUACCGAUGGCGAAGGCAGCCAUCUGGCCUAAUACUGACGCUGAGGUACGAAAGCAUGGGGAGCAAACAGGAUUAGAUACCCUGGUAGUCCAUGCCGUAAACGAUGUCUACUAGCCGUUGGGGCCUUUGAGGCUUUAGUGGCGCAGCUAACGCGAUAAGUAGACCGCCUGGGGAGUACGGUCGCAAGACUAAAACUCAAAUGAAUUGACGGGGGCCCGCACAAGCGGUGGAGCAUGUGGUUUAAUUCGAUGCAACGCGAAGAACCUUACCUGGCCUUGACAUAGUAAGAACUUUCCAGAGAUGGAUUGGUGCCUUCGGGAACUUACAUACAGGUGCUGCAUGGCUGUCGUCAGCUCGUGUCGUGAGAUGUUGGGUUAAGUCCCGCAACGAGCGCAACCCUUUUCCUUAUUUGCCAGCGAGUAAUGUCGGGAACUUUAAGGAUACUGCCAGUGACAAACUGGAGGAAGGCGGGGACGACGUCAAGUCAUCAUGGCCCUUACGGCCAGGGCUACACACGUGCUACAAUGGUCGGUACAAAGGGUUGCUACCUAGCGAUAGGAUGCUAAUCU
rnacentral:rRNA from 1 species